AUUAAGAAAAAAAAAAUUGUAAUGCAAGAAGAAGAUGUAGCAUUUAAGUUUGCCAAGCAUAAUUGGAUGCAUAAAGUGUGGAAGGCUACACAUAUAUUCCCAUGGUCUUACUAUUAACAAACUAUUUCAAAAAUAAUAAAUAAAGCCACAUUCAUAAUAAUUCAUUGCUAGGCAAAUGCCACUCUGUUUCCAAUUUAAUCAAAUAUAAAAUAAAGCAUUUUCCAAUCAUAUAAUAAACACUAUUAACAUUUUGUUAAAAUUAUGACUCAAAAUCCUAGUAAGAUUUGAAGAAACAUUUUCCUACUUUGAGUAAGAGAAAUAUUCCUCAAUAGGAUA
rnacentral:misc_RNA from 1 species